rnacentral:rRNA from 1 species
ACGAACGCUGGCGGCGUGCUUAACACAUGCAAGUCGAACGGAAAGGCCCUGCUUUUGUGGGGUGCUCGAGUGGCGAACGGGUGAGUAACACGUGAGUAACCUGCCCUUGACUUUGGGAUAACUUCAGGAAACUGGGGCUAAUACCGGAUAGGAGCUCCUGCUGCAUGGUGGGGGUUGGAAAGUUUCGGCGGUUGGGGAUGGACUCGCGGCUUAUCAGCUUGUUGGUGGGGUAGUGGCUUACCAAGGCUUUGACGGGUAGCCGGCCUGAGAGGGUGACCGGCCACAUUGGGACUGAGAUACGGUCCAGACUCCUACGGGAGGCAGCAGUGGGGAAUAUUGCACAAUGGGCGGAAGCCUGAUGCAGCAACGCCGCGUGCGGGAUGACGUCCUUCGGGUUGUAAACCGCUUUCGCCUGUGACGAAGCGUGAGUGACGGUAAUGGGUAAAGAAGCACCGGCUAACUACGUG